AUAAAAUUUAAUGAUCUAAUAAUUAAAUUGAUUUAUUGCAUUCAAAAUACAUGUAUUUGUUUAUUGAGUUUCGAUUGUACAGUCAGUCCAUUGUUUACGGUUUGCCAUUUAAAUCUUUACAACCAUAUAUUUAAACAUACGAAAGAAUAUGCUUUGAAGCGCCUCGUGGACUUUUGUCAUAUAUAAACACGUGUUCCCGCUCAAUUUUCAUUCAAUGAUUAUUUCUCAACAGAAUUGCACAAGGAUAGGACCAGAGCGUAAAUAAGAUAAAAUAGAAGAAAUGAAGUAAGCCGGAGAUUAAGACCAAGGGUAAACAACGUUGGAGUUCAACGACCUGCUCCUCGUGAAGUACCAGCACCAGAACAGGUACCCGUUCCUGAGGAAGUUGUCCGAGUGGUAAACAGAGGAAGACACGGAAAAAGAAGGCGUGCAGCGCCCGAGCUUCAACAACCAGAUCAACCUGUGGAGCCCAAUAAUCAACCUCCACCUCAGAAACAACUGAAAACUACGGCAGUUCACGCUCAACCGGGUAAUACUUUAAAUACUACUGUCCUUUGUUUAUACCAUGUUCUAAUGAAAUUGACAUAAUUAUUUCUCAGCAAAUAAUAGAGAAAAUUCGGAAUUGUAAAAAUGUUGAUUUUGGUACUCUUCUUCAACAAAAUAGUCAAUAUUAUAGUAGUUUGGAUCAGAAACAAAGCGUAAUGGUUAAAAAUGGAAUGCUUGUCAUUUCUCAUUACCCUUCAAAGGACAAUACAAUAAAUACCAUUGAAUUAUGGACUGAAGCAUUUGCAGUUUUUUUCUAAAAUACUUCUUCAAAAACAUGCUGGCUUAACACAAGACUUGUUUACAUACAUGUUAAUCAUAAGAGUUUUUAUAUCAGAUGCACAUUUUGACAGAGUUUACCCGUAUGAUAGAAAAUUUAGAUUAAGUGUAUCACUAAAACACUCUAAAUCUUUGUCUGAGAUUGAUGGCUUUCUUUGGUUGAAAUUCAUUGUAAAGGGAUCGCAAGGCACACCUAAUCCUGUAGUCUGCCAGGCUAACUUACAAAAACAUUGUUAUGACUAUAACUUUAAAGGUUAUUGUCAGAAAUCUCAAGUGUUUUACAGACAUAACUGUAUGAAAUGUUCAUUACAACAUCCAGUCUUAUGUGUUAGAUUUGAUAGCUUACAAAGUAACCAAGGUUAUCAUAAGGGAUCAUUGAUGCCACCUGUGUUUAUCCAAAAUAGAUCUCAUAUGUCUAACCAGUUUCGACAAAACAGGCCUUCAUUUGUUCAACAAAUAGAUAUAGGUCACCAAUAAACACAAGGUAUUUCGUCCCUAGAUUUAAUCAAAUGACAUAUAGUUAACUUUUCUUUCAGAAUUGUCAAAGGAUAAAUAUGAUAUUUGGAAGAAGAGACAUUCAUCUUUAAUAUUGAACAAUUAAGAUUAUCCUAAUGAACAGGACAAACAAAUUUUGUUUAUUGGUUUUAAAUUUGGAUUUAGAUUGAAUCAUAAUUGACCAAGAUUUCCACUUGAAUCAAAAAAUUAAAAUCUUUUUUGACAAAUCCUAUUGGAGCUAGAUGUAAGAUUGAAUCUGAAAUAUCGUUAUGAAGAAUAGCAGGUGCUCUUUGUAAGAGACCAAUAUCUAAUCUUAGAUAUUCUCCUAUUGGAUUAGUUAAAAAAAAAAAAAAAAAAAAAAAAAAAAAAAAAAAUAAAUAAAUAAAAAAAAAAACAGGUUUUUCGUCUGAUUACCCAUUUAUCAUAUCAGCCAUUGAGCAGCGUUAACGACUUCAUCGAUGAAAGGUUUACCUCUGUUAAAUAUUCUUCAUUUGAUAAUGCUGUUGAUUACUUCCGGUUUAUACAUGAGAUUUUGACUAAUUUGGUUUUAAAAUUGUAAAUGAAUACUACAUAGACGAGGCAAUGACAUUGGGCUGCUCAAUUUCAUAUGCUAAAUUUGAGAAGUUUUUAGCCUUUUUGAAUUGGUUUUAAAAAUAAGUCUGGUUUAAAUAAUAUAGACCACUAUUUGGUAGAAUUUUAAUAUUGUUGGCUAAUCAGAUUCUGAUGAAUGUGAACAACUGAUGUUUCAGAAUGAUGAAAUUUGCAAAGAUAUUGUAGUCUCACUUGCAAAAAAAAAAAAUGAAGGUCCAACUACACUGAUUGAAUAUCUGGGUCUUACAAUUGAUACUGUUAAUAUGCUUGUUUAAAUUCCACAUGAAAAGAUUGAAGAAAUUUUAAACAGAAUUAAUAAUUUAUAAGCCAUGAAAAAAGUAACGUUAAAAGAAUUGCAGUCAAUAUGUGGUUCAUUAGUUUUCUGCACGAAGGCUAUACCUGAUGGAAGAGCGUUUAGUUGUAUUCGACCAUGGACAAAGUGUCAAAUCCGUUUCACUUUUAUCUAUUGAUAUAGAAAUUAUUUUUGGAACAGUAUAAUAGGAUUUCGUAUUUAAAUGAUAUAGGAUGGAUAUCAAAUUUUUAUUUUGAACUAUAUACAGAUACUGCUGGUGAAUAAGGUAAAGGGUGUGCAAUUUAUAUUAAUGCUCAAUUGAGUGGCAUAAAGAAUGUAAUAGUUCAGAAAUAAUUGAAGAUAUAACAUAUUUUGAAAUCAUUCCAAUAACACUGGUUUGAUAAAUUAUACAAGAAACAUACUUUUUCCCAUUGAUAACCUGGCAGUAGUGAAUGUUUUAAACAAAAUGUCAAGAAAAUAUUAACUAGUUUCGUCCGUUUUUAGUUUAAUUAUUCACUGUUCACUAAUUGGUAAUUUUCAGUUUAAAGCUGUUCACAUUUUGUCAAAGGACAAUGCAAUUGCUGAUGCAUUAUCUCGUGCAAAUUUUCAGAAAUUUCAAUGUCUGCACCACUUGACAGCGAUUUUCCACAUCCAAUUCCAGUGGAGUUCUGGAACCUUUUAAAGAUGAAGUGAAUAAACUUUUAAGGCAAUCUGUUUCUUCAAAUACAAUGGAUGUGUAUGAAAAUGCAUCUAUUCAUUCAUAAAUUUCUGACCUGUUUUCGAAUAGAGGAAAGUUGGCCACCUCUUGUUAAUCAUACAAUUAAAUUACAUAGCUUUCAUAAAUAGUUAUUCCUAUAACCUUCAAAAACAUAUCUAUCAGGAAUAAAUCAUAAGUUGAAAAUAAAUAAUUGAAAUGAUUAUAGCAAAUCAUUUAUUUUGAAAAUAAUGUUAAAAGGUAAAAAAGUAAAAGAAAACCUAUUACUGUUGAUGUAUUAAAACAACUUGAAUUAAUUCUUCAAUGUUUGUAAAUGUUUAGGGGAGGAUUUGCUUAAGCCUUUUUUGGAUUUAUGAGAAUUAGAGAAAUCACAAAACUGAUGAUCAUGUUUAAAAAAAUUCAGAUAUUAAAUUUGAUGAUAUUAGUUCUAAAGUUUUUGUUACAAUUAUGUCUUCUAAGAAGGAUCAAAUUGGUUGUUCGACAAGUUUAAUGUUGUCUUCAAAUGAUAAUGAUGAUGAACAUUGUGUUGUCAAAACAUUUGCAGAUAACUUACAGUUACAUACAAGUUGAUGUGGGCAGGAAUGUCCGGUAUGUCACUAUAUAAUUUUGUACCAAUAGAAGAGAAUGUGAUACAUGGUGGGGGUUUACCAGAUGCUGUUUUGCUUCACUGUGGUGGCAAUGAAAUUAGACUUGUAAACUGUGCAAAAAAAUUUAUUUUAUAUUUAAUUUAUGCUAGAUAUAGUUGGACGUAUGGUGAAUGGAAGUUAAAUUAUUUUUUCAAGCAUAUUACCAAGGUUGAAAUGAAGAUGUUCAAAAGAUUUAAAAGCAAUGGAUGCAACCAGGAAACGUACAAAUAGGGGAGUUCAAUCACAUUUAAUUAAACUGGGGGUUACACUAUAAUUCAUUCUGAUUUUGAAGUCAAACUCUUAUCUUUGGUUAGUCAUGAUGGAGUACAUUUAUCGUUUAUUGGCAAUGAUAUAGUUUUGAAUUCUUUUCAAACUGCUUUAGAACAAUUUGAUAAUAUACCAAAUAAUUCUGUUUAUCCGAUGCAUGAAUGAUGUUUGUUUAUAUUUGUUGUAUGUUGAAAUGAAUAACAACUAGUUGAUAUAUUUUCGUUUAAUUUAUGCUGCUUAUUCAAUUGUCAUGGCGGAUUAGCAUUUGAUUGAGAGUUCAAUAAAAUGCCAAUUUUGGCAGUGAUUUAUUCAAAUAUUGUUCAUCGAGCUGUUAUGGAUCUGCCCAGCAGCUAGAAAUUAUUAUGCAUUUACUGUUGGUUUUACCUUCAGUGACCAAUUGUCAUCAAGUUUUAACUUGUUGGCCAGUUUGUUGAUGUUGGUUGUUUGUUGGUUGAUAUUGUUGAAUAUUGUUGAAUAAAUGCCAUGACAAAUAAUAAGCCAAAUUUCAAUUGUUUGUUGUUUAUAUUAUUCUGGCGAAGGAAUGAAACAAAACAAAUCUAUAAUUGUAUAUUUAUUGCACAAAUUGAAUAUGCAAUAAUAAAAUUUAAUGAUCUAAUAAUUAAAUUGAUUUAUUGCAUUCAAAAUACAUGUAUUUGUUUAUUGAGUUUCGAUUGUACAGUCAGUCCAUUGUUUACGGUUUGCCAUUUAAAUCUUUACAACCAUAUAUUUAAACAUACGAAAGAAUAUGCUUUGAAGCGCCUCGUGGACUUUUGUCAUAUAUAAACACGUGUUCCCGCUCAAUUUUCAUUCAAUGAUUAUUUCUCAACAGAAUUGCACAACCCACCCUCCCUCCCUUUAAUAAACAAAAUUGCUGCUGUUUUAAGUUUAUUUUUCAGAUUACAUGGUAAACAGAUCCACAUGUAUUGAAUAUUUCAAUUAGAUUGUCAUAUAUCAUCAAAAAUGUCGGACGUUUCAACAUUCAUCGGCAGAUUCAAUGAAACCUGAAUAUUCAAGAAAUUUGCAGUAAUAAUAAAAAAAAAAAAAAUGUCUAUCGUCAUGGCAUUACGUUCUAUAUGGAAAGUGCGUUGGAUGUCAUCAUCACAUUAAUUCAACUGGCAGUGAUUUAUUCAAAUAUUGUUCAUCGAGCUGUUAUGGAUCUGCCCAGCAGCUAGAAAUUAUUAUGCAUUUACUGUUGGUUUUACCUUCAGUGACCAAUUGUCAUCAAGUUUUAACUUGUUGGCCAGUUUGUUGAUGUUGGUUGUUUGUUGGUUGAUAUUGUUGAAUAUUGUUGAAUAAAUGCCAUGACAAAUAAUAAGCCAAAUU